GGUGGUAGCUCAGUCGGGUAAGCACCCGCUUCUCACGCCAGAGAUGCGGGUUCGAAUCCCAGCCUGUACCA
rnacentral:tRNA from 1 species